GAUGAACGCUAGCUACAGGCUUAACACAUGCAAGUCGAGGGACCGGCGCACGGGUGAGUAACACGUAUCCAACCAGCCAUUUACUCGGGGAUAGCCUUUAGAAAGAAAGAUUAAUACCCGAUGUAACGGAUGGGGAUGCGUUCCAUUAGGUUGUUGGUGAGGUAACGGCUCACAGAGCCUUCGAUGGUUAGGGGUUCUGAGAGGAAGGUCCCCCACAUUUGAACUGAGACACGGUCCAAACUCCUACGGGAGGCAGCAGGGAGGAAUAUUGGUCAAUGGGCGUUAGCCUGAACCAGCCAAGUAGCGUGAAGGAUGAAGGCUUAUGGGUCGUAAACUUCUUUUAUAUAAGAAUAUGUAUUAUAUGAAUAAGGAUCGGCUAACUCCGUGCCAGCAGCCGCGGUAAUUC
rnacentral:rRNA from 1 species